GCCGGGCGCGGUGGCGCACGCCUGCAAACCCAGCAGCUCAGGAGGCUGAGGCAGGAGGAUCGCAAGUGCAAAACCAGCCUCAGCAACUUAGUGAGACUCUGUCUUUA
rnacentral:sRNA from 1 species